AUUGAACGCUGGCGGCAUGCUUUACACAUGCAAGUCGAGCGGCAGCGCGGGGGCAACCCUGGCGGCGAGCGGCGAACGGGUGAGUAAUGCAUCGGAACGUACCCUGGAGUGGGGGAUAACGCCGCGAAGGCGGCGCUAAUACCGCAUAUGCUCUGAGGAGGAAAGCGGGGGCUCGCAAGACCUCGCGCUCUGGGAGCGGCCGAUGUCCGAUUAGCUAGUUGGUGAGGUAAAGGCUCACCAAGGCGACGAUCUGUAGCGGGUCUGAGAGGAUGAUCCGCCACACUGGAACUGAGACACGGUCCAGACUCCUACGGGAGGCAGCAGUGGGGAAUUUUGG
rnacentral:rRNA from 1 species